rnacentral:rRNA from 1 species
CACGUAGGAACCGAGCGUUAUCCGAAUUUACUGGGCGUAAAGCGCGUGUAGGUGGCACGAUAAGUUGGGUGUGAAAGCUCCUGGCUCAACUAGGAGAGGUCGCUCAAGACUGUCGAGCUUGAGAACGGUAGAGGGAGGUGGAAUUCCCGGUGUAGUGGUGAAAUGCGUAGAUAUCGGGAGGAACACCAGUGGCGAAGGCGGCCUCCUGGACCGUUUCUGACACUGAGACGCGAAAGCUAGGGGAGCGAACGGG